UAGGAUGUGAGGUAGUCAGCUCGAUGAUAUAACAGAUCCGUGAGGAGGAGGUCACCUGCCCUCUCCCCGCUCAUUGAACCGUCACAGAUCCUUGUAAGAGACUUAACAUUUUACACCGGCAGAACAUGAAGACGUGACGUACAAGACAGGUGCACUGGACCGGGACUUUGGUAACUUUGAAAUCUGUAGGUCAUCUGUUUCUAUGGCCUGCAAUAAGCAAGUGUGUCUUGUAUCCAGCACAACGACUAACAGCUUAUACUAUGACCCACUAAUGUCAGGUAGCAAUUAGAGCUGUCAGGUAGCACUGGGUGGACUCAGGAGACGUCUUAAACAAUAUUCUGAAGGAUGAUUGAACCAUAGCCCCUCAGUUCGAACGCCAAGCACUUUAUCACUCUGACACCAAGACUUAAUAUGUCUAAUGCUGUCUUCUCAUUAACAUAUGAAUUUGAUACCUCAGUUCAAGGCCGGCCCAUUCUUUCGUGGGUUUUCCCGAUUUUUUUUUACUUUUCGUUUCCAUUUCUCAACAAAGUAUCCUGUGUGCUCAGGUGCUAAUUGUAACGCAACUAGGAAUGAAAAAUAUGACAGUCUGGCAAUGUGUCUGGAUCCCUCAGAAGCAGUCUCAACCUGAGUGUCUGUUGAGCUAUCUAUAUAUUAAGCAUAACCGACAUAUUUAUAUACAACCUACUUUAUAAUAAAGUGUAACGCUAAGCACAA